GUCUAUGGCCAUACCACCCUGAACACACCUGAUCUUGUCUGAUCUCGGAAGCUAAGCAGGGUUGGGCUUGGUUAGUACUUGGAUAGGAGAAACAAAAUGACUCUCUCGCAUUGUGGCUU
rnacentral:rRNA from 1 species